AAACAACUCUACUAUAUACGUAAUGCAAGGGUUAAGCAUGCCCACUCUCUGAUCACUGCAGAUCAAACGUCACGGCUACAGGUCUGUCUGUGUAACAGAACGCCAACAAGAUGAUGCGAUCAACUCUCAAGGUAAUAGCCAGCAGAUUCGCCCUCUCUCCCCUCCCGGCGACACGGGACAUCCUGGGAUGUUCUAUAUAUACCGGCAAAAAAUCCUUCUACUGGAAUGCAGUGGGUGAGUUAUUGAACUUUUACUACUUUCUUUUCAUACAACGCGAAAAAAUAUUCCGACGAUGAAAUCGGAAUCCUUAAAAAGUCUUAGGUAACCUUAUAAUUAUUGUCAUUAAUAGACACACAAAUGAUGUUUAAAAUAUUUCAUUGAUUAAAGGAGAUAAUUUGAUCUUACAGAUGAAAUGAAUUUGUUUUUUGAAAAUUAUGAGGUGAUGAUGGCUGCCGAGGAAUUUGACCACGCCCCUAACCGUAAUAAUCACCCGAUAAUAUUUGAUAACAAGAAAGAUUUCUUAUUAAUUUUCAGCAUUGAUUACUUAGCGUUAUUUUCUUCGUAAUUGUGAAAACCCAGCUUGCACACCAACAGUACGUCGUUUGCAUCAUUGAUGUCAUAAUCCAAUUGAAUAUACGUAAAAGAUUGAUUCGCAGUGUUAUCACAGAUUAAGGCAAUGGAUAGAAAAUGUAAAUUUUAAAGAAAAAGUCUCAUAACUGUAAUUACGAUGUAUGCAUACAAAUUGAGCAAAGCGCGUUAGCGCCUUAUGAAAAAUUUGUUUGCACAAACUGUUGCAGUUAUCAGACUAUAUCGUUGAAAAAAAUUUAGGAUUUAAUGCUUAUACAUGUAUUUACAUUUUUUAAAGUUCUUGCCUUGUCUGCAAAUGUGAAUUCUGUGUUAUCAUAUGAUCUGAUAAGUUCAGAUUAGUGAAAUAGCCACUGUAACAGCCACAAGCGUCAACUUUGAUUUUCGCUUGUGACGUAGCACUUUAAGGUACUUCACUACACCUAGACUUAUACUUUUUAAGACACUACGUCACAAGAUAGCGUUCUAUCAAUCGAUUCAGAUGUAUAUCGUCGUAGCUCAGUGGUUAAAGUAUCAGGCCUGUGAACCGCAGAUCAUGAGUUCGAAAACGCCUGGGCUUUUGUUUAUGUUUACUGAAUGAAAUUUUUGAAAAUAUCAUUUUUUAUCCAAAAUUGCACAUCUUUUCGCCUAUUUGACAUAUAUACUUCUUAUCCAUCAUGCUUUCUAUCAUUUGACGUGUUGGGUUUGUGUUAUGAAGGAGAUUUUAUUAUUUUUUUUUCACUGCAAAUUUGACAAUCCAUUUUAACGAAUAAGAUAUUUCAUUUAACAACUUAAUAAUAUGAUAUAAUGGAAUCGUUAUUUGUUUUAACGGGAAAUGAAUUAUAUGUUAUAACAAAUUGGAAAAAGAAUCUGCCGAAUACGUAUACUACGUCUGAUAAAGAUACAUGUUCUUUUCUUUUUAAUAACAGGCCAAGUUCCGGACUCUAAAACCCCAGUGUACUGUAUGCAGUUCGACGUUUCGGACUUAGAAGAGCAUGACGUCACUAGCUUUACAACCACGCUACAGAACGAUGUGUCCAGCCUGAAGCCGGACAUUGUGUACAUCCAGCAGACGAAACAGAGCGUUCCCCUGGAGGAGAUCGGGCUCAGGAUGAAGGGAUUGGGUUACGAAGGUUACGAACAGAGGAUCACGCCGGAACUUAAACAGGCCACCUAUUUCCGGUCCAAUCUCCUUCGCGGUUUAUACGGUAGCCCGGUAGUCACAAACGCGGCAACGACUGGAUGAAACAAAAUACACGAUUGGUCCGAAUUUCGCUUUGCAUUCUCUUUUGGAACUCCAUUGGUCCAUUUCAAGCGACUUCACGAAUUCGUCCGUGCCGAUCACUAUAGAUUAUUAUAUGACAUGACGUAUUUGAACUUCUACGUGUACAGUUACAGUUUUUCGAAACAACUCGACAAUUGAUACACUUUCGGGAUGUGUACAGUGUACCACCGACUCAAAGACAUCGCGUACUUAACGUACAUCAUUUUUUCUCUUUCCACAGUUUUGUAAAUAUUGUUUAAAUAAACUUUGCAAAAACC
rnacentral:misc_RNA from 1 species